UUACAGUAUUUGCCGAGCCUUGGAGUCCGAUAAGUUGUGCAUUGGACUAAUUUUUGAUGAUUUUAAGGAUUUUUCACCUGAGUCUGAGUUCGUAGAAGGACCAUUCUCGCAUCAAAUUGAAUUUUGCUCUUGAGUCUGACAUCGUAGGAGGAACAUUCUUGCAUCAGAAUGGAUUUUGCACCUGAGUCUGAGAUCGUAGAAAAAACCAUUCUGGUAUCAGAUUGGAUUUUGCACCUGAGUCUGACAUCGUAAAAGGACCAUUCUUGCAUCAGAAUGACUAAUUUUUGAUGGUUUUAGGGAUUUUGCACCUGAGUCUGAGAUCGUAGAAGGACCAUUCUGGUAUCAGAUUGGAUUUUGCACCUGAGUCUGACAUCGUAGAAGGACCAUUAUUGCAUAAGAUUG